CCGACAUUCUGCUCGAGAAGGCGUGGCAGAUGGCGAUGGCGAGGCCGUCUGCGGCGUCGUCGGGCCUGGGUAUCUCGCGCAGGUUCAAGAGGGCACGCACCAUCUCCUGGACCUGCCGCUUGUCGGCCCGGCCGUAGGAGGUGAUCGCCUGCUUUACCUGCAGCGGCGUAUACUCGUGGACCUCGACGCCGGCCUUGUACGCCGCCAGCAGCGCCACCCCCCGCGCCUGCCCGACCGUGAUCGCAGUCGUCACGUUGGUGUUGAAGAACAGCUCCUCCACCGC
rnacentral:misc_RNA from 1 species